AACAACCUGCCACUCUGCUCUGUGUGCUGCUCCCUUCAAGGGCACAGGGAAAUGCAAAAAACCCUGCAGUUCCUCAGGGGCAGGGUUUGACAUGACCCUCAGAUCCUCACUUAGCCAAACUGCCCAGCGCUUUGAUGGGAGUAUGUAUGAGGAGUCAGAGAGUUUGACUCACUUGGUCUUGUUGCUGCUUGUUCCUCCACCCACAAAAAUCAGCUGUUUUCAGUCCCACGCUUUAUCCUGGUUUGUAAAUAAUAGUCACCUGGGAAGAAGUGCAUUUGCCUCCUACCUGAUGGAGGCCCCAGGAGUCCUUCAUUUCUCUGAUAGCUAAACUGUUCCUAAGUGCAAAAGGGGGAGAGGGAAUAA